rnacentral:rRNA from 1 species
UACGUAGGGGGCAAGCGUUGUCCGGAUUUAUUGGGCGUAAAGAGCGUGUAGGCGGCCUGGAAGGUCAGCUGUGAAAACUCGAGGCUCAACCUCGAGACGUCGGUUGGAACCACCUGGCUAGAGUCCGGAAGAGGAGUGUGGAAUUCCCGGUGUAGCGGUGGAAUGCGCAGAUAUCGGGAAGAACACCCGUGGCGAAGGCGGCUCUCUGGGACGGUACUGACGCUGAGACGCGAAAGCGUGGGGAGCGAACAGG